CCUGUAGUGUGUGCUUUAGUAUUGUCUUCAUUUCAUUCUUCACUUGUUUGGGGUGGGGGAGGAGGUAGUACAUCAGUCCAGAUGUGCUGAGAGAGGGAAAAUGAGGGUUAUUUUAAAAAAUCUCUAAAUUCUUUUGCUAAAUUAAUUCUCAGUAUGUUUAUUUAUUAAAGUGUGAAGUCUCAUUGACACUGUAAAGUUUUAUAAAGAAUAUUAGGCCUUUUGUAAACAGACAAGUCCAAGAAAGUGCAAAAAAACUGUCUCUGAAAUACUGCUAUGCAUAGAUUAGCCUAAAUAAUUUUACAUGCCUUUGAAAAUUAUUUUUGUAAUGGUAUGAACAUAUUUCCCAGGAAAAGGGUAUUCACAGCUGGGAAAACAGUUGCUACUUUGAAGAUGGUUUUCCCAGGCAAACAGCUCACAUCUCCAACUGUUUUUGGUAUAAACAUAUUUAGUGUGCUUCUUAGUAAUGUUUAAAGGAGUCAAGUGUUCCUCAUUAGAUAUUAACUGAAAAACUGUUUUAUUCUACCAGGUAUUUUCUCUUAAUCAUGUUUGUUUAGUUUUUUCCUCUUUACUUUCAUACAUGUAGUCACCAAGCAGGGAGUUAAAAUAAUGGGGAGUGAGGUACAAAGCUCCCCCUUCUCUGCUAUAAGCAGAGGGAAGGUUCCCCCCAUACCACACAGCUUGGGUAAGCAGUAUUUGCAUACAGCUCCUCCUCGUUAGCUGGUGGUGAGUGCUUUCCCUUCCUGUUGUUACCUGCUUUAACCACUGUUAGUAAGUAUUCAUGUGUACUAUAAUGAUGCUGUUUAUACCAUUUGAUUAUUUAUUUUUGGUCAUCAUUUCCAAUAUAAAUCCCUAUUUGUAAAGGCUUAGUGGCAGACAUUUUCACCAGGUUGAAACUGAACAGUUAAGGUCUGAAUGGGGGAAUGAUAGAUUUGUUGAGUUAUGACUGCAACCCAUCCAGGUUCCAAAGUAUUAGUUAGCCAAUGGUAGAGUUAAGACUAGAAUCCAGGUCAUCUGACUCCCAGUCCCCUGUUCCAGCCACUUGGGCAUGUAUUCUUGACUGAAAACCACUUACUAUUUUUGAGCUGAUAUGCUGAUGGCUUUUGGUUCACAAUGCAAAUAAGUGUCCUGGGAGGGGUAGGGAAUCAAUGAAAAAGUGCAAGUUAUAUAAGUUAGGAAAUUUGCCACUACACGUGAACAAUAAAUAUAUGUUCAACAAAAACAUGGCAAACCUCAUGGUUAAAUUGCCAAAAGAUACUCAGUUCUGCAAGAGAUGCUAUCUUUGCAGUGUAGACCAGGCGUGCUUGACAUUAGCUGCCUUGUGUCGAUGUAUUUGUGCAUGUGUCUACACUCAAAUUUGUCUCUGGCCAAUGUACUGUGAUGCAGUAAAACUAUGUACGUCCUUGAACAGUGUAGAGCCAUGGUCAACCUACUGAGGUUGAUGCAGUGUGAGUGUGGACACUGCAUGACCUGCGUUGACCCUAAAAGUCUUCCAGCAGCAUUCCCUGUGAUAGUGACGACUCUGGUAAACUCCACUAUCCACAGGCGACAGAACCUGGAAGCCUGUUCCCCUUUAAACCCCCUCCUCCAGGUGUUUUUGAAAUGCCUUUUCCCGAUUGCCCAUCUUAGCAAGCACACCUAGCAGCUCACCCUUGAUAUGUGCAACUGCCCAACCAACUGCGCUGGCUCCAUGCACUAGACUUGCUCCUGCUUUGAGUAGAUGGGAGAUAUUGGAUUCCUGGGCCUGUGGGGCGAAAAGGCUAUGCAAGCACUGCUGUGGACCAGUCCUAGAAACGUGGACCUCUGUGAGCAGAUUGCAUGGGGGAUGCAGGUGUGAAGGGGUACAACAGGGAUCGGCAGCAGUGCUGUCUGAAAGCAAAGGAACUUCUCCAGGAAUACCACAAGGCCAGGAAGCGCAACAAUAGAGCUGGUGCUUCAUCACAGAUCUGCCACUUCUACAAGUAACUGCAUACCAUACUUGGCGGAGACCCCACCAGAACCCUGCAGACCACUGUGGAUUCCUUGGAGGAACCCAAGAUGGAGACCCCUGCCGUGAACAGUGAGGAGAAGGAGGUGAAGAGAAGUGGUGGGGGAAAACAAGCCAUGGUGCGAGCCAGGACCUGUUUGAGACUUUACCACAGUUUAGUCAGUCCUGCCUGGAGAGCAUGGAUGAGCCUGGUGAAAGCGAAGGGGACUCGGCAGGACACUUCCCCACCCUGCUCCGUGAUGACUCUGGCUGGCAUCAUUGCAGUAAAAAGGCUUGUGGCAUGUGGCCCAAGCUUCUGAUGCGUCGGCCUUGAGGGCUGCCCCCUCAUGCCAGCAGAACACCUGACCCUGAAGAGGAGGAGAAAGAAGAGGGUGAGGGAGGACAUGUUCUGCAAGUUCCUGUAAGCCAGUGCUGCAUCAGACUGUGAACAAAGGAGUUGGAGGGUCCAUGUGACUGGCUACCUGGAGAAGAAUAGAAGACAGCGAAAAAAGUCCCAGGCGUCCCAACUGGACUAGGAAAGGGAAAUGCACCAAUACAUAAUGGGUCUUUUCAGACAGGAAAUGCAAAUGCUGCAGAUCCUGGUUGCCCUAUAGGUUGAGAAAUUCCAGACUCUUCAUCCUUUGCAGUCCUUGGAGAACUCCAUAGCCAUUGAUUCCUACAUCCCCCAACAUAACGUAUCAGUCCACGCUGGGGCACAGCAAGGAAAACCACAGCUUCAUAUCCACUGACCUGUGAGAACCAUGGUUGCUCUAUAUUUAGCCACAAUGGACUACAUUUGUGCACUAAGAUGGACAUAAAUGUCUACUUCCUUUCUAAUUUUAAAUUUUCACUCCCCUUGUGUUUAAAAAAAAUUGUAGAACAUUGCCUGCGGUAUUUUUUGCACAUUACUUUCCUGCACUGUUUUUUCCCCCCACUAAAUAAAAUUUUG